rnacentral:rRNA from 1 species
AACGAACGCUGGCGGCAUGCCUAACACAUGCAAGUCGAACGAAGCCUUCGGGCUUAGUGGCGCACGGGUGCGUAACGCGUGGGAAUCUGCCCUUAGGUGCGGAAUAACUCAGGGAAACUUGAGCUAAUACCGCAUAAUGACUCCGGUCCAAAGAUUUAUCGCCUAAGGAUGAGCCAGCGUCGGAUUAGCUAGUUGGUGAGGUAAAAGCUCACCAAGGCGACGAUCGGUAGCUGGUCUGAGAGGCUGAUCAGCCACACUGGGACUGAGACACGGCCCAGACUCCUACGGGGGGCAGCAGUGGGGAAUAUUGGACAUUGGGCGAAAGCCUGAUCAAGCAAUGCCGCGUGAGUGAUGAAGGCCUUAGGGUUGUAAAGCUCUUUUACCCGGGAUGAUAAUGACAGUACCGGGAGAAUAAGCCCCGGCUAACUCCGUGCCAGCCGCCGCCGUAA